CCUUAAGCCUCUGGAUGAGAGUUAAGCAUGUCCAGGUAGUAGUGGGUGUUUUGAAACAUAAAAGGUUGCACCCUCGUGUGUGCCUGUGUUAAAAGGAGCCCACGCAGCCGACAGCAGCAGGAGCAAAUGGCCUGCUCUGAUGGGGACAGGCAGGAAGUCCUUCGGGGCAUUUCUGUUUCAUCACAGCUUUUCCUGGGGCUGGAAGCUGAUCAGUAUCUCCUUUGGGGACCUGAACCCUUUCCCCGUACGCCAGAUCCGGAACCGACGUGCCUACCACUUGGAGAAAGUCCGGCUGGAGCUGACCGAGCUGGAGGCCAUCCGUGAGGACUUCCUGCAUGAGCGGGACACCAGCCCUGACAAGGGUGAGCUGGUCAGUGACGAGGAGGAGGAUACCUGAGUGGGCUCCGGGACGCUGCUCUUCCUGCCUUCACAACCAAAGUGUGCCCAAAGGGUGAAAGUGCACUUAAAAGCCAGAAUGUAA